CGCCUUCCUGCAGUCGACGGCAGCGCGGACUUCGGUCUGGCGGCGAGUGGCGAACGGGUGAGUAAUACAUCGGAACGUACCCUGUUGUGGGGGAUAACUAGUCGAAAGAUUAACUAAUACCGCAUACGACCUGAGGGUGAAAGUGGGGGACCGCAGGGCCUCACGCAGCAGGAGCGGCCGAUGUCUGAUUAGCUAGUUGGUGGGGUAAAGGCCCACCAAGGCGACGAUCAGUAGCUGGUCUGAGAGGACGAUCAGCCACACUGGGACUGAGACACGGCCCAGACUCCUACGGGAGGCAGCAGUGGGGAAUUUUGGACAAUGGGGGCAACCCUGAUCCAGCAAUGCCGCGUGUGCGAAAAAGGCCUUCGGGUUGUAAAGCACUUUUGUCCGGAAAGAAAUCGCGCUGGUUAAUACCUGGCGUGGAUGACGGUACCGGAAGAAUAAGCACCGGCUAACUACGUGCCAGACCCCGGGAAAAAAAAAGGGGGGCAGC
rnacentral:rRNA from 1 species